rnacentral:rRNA from 1 species
CAGUAGCCGCGGUAAUACGAAGGGUGCAAGCGUUACUCGGAAUUACUGGGCGUAAAGCGUGCGUAGGCGGUGAGUUAAGUCUGCUGUGAAAUCCCCGGGCUCAACCUGGGAAUGGCAGUGGAUACUGGCUCGCUAGAGUGUGUCAGAGGAUGGUGGAAUUCCCGGUGUAGCGGUGAAAUGCGUAGAGAUCGGGAGGAACAUCAGUGGCGAAGGCGGCCAUCUGGGACAACACUGACGCUGAGGCACGAAAGCGUGGGGAGCAAACAGGAUUAGAUACCCCCGUAGUCCCUGUCUCUUAUAA